AUGAAAGCUACUGAUCAUCUGCAAUCACCAUUCACUCUAGCUAGCUGCUACUUUCUAAGAGCAUCUCCAACCAAGCCCUCAGGUGCUCCCUCAUCCUACUUUAGAGGGUCGAAACGCAAAAAAGUGUCUCCAACGACACCCUCAACCCACCCCCGACGGAUGAGAGAGCCCUCAUCUUCACAGGGCGACCUCCCACAUGUAGGAGAGAGAAACAACUCUCUCAUCUGCGGGCUGUCGCAGCUGCCGGCUCUCCCGCGCCGGCACGGAGAUCUCCCGCCAGAUUCGGCAUACGGAGAAUAUAUAGGAGGUAAUAUAACCGACGUUGGAUGCCACAAACAAGGUAGAUCGGUGCCGCCAUGAACCUUCCCCGGAUCUGGAGAGAUGGAGGCACCAAGCAAAGCAGACGUGGGUGUGGUCCAUGCGAUCCCUAUUUCAGAUCCAACACGGUGCCGGCCGGAGCCACAGUGCGUGAGGGCCACGGUCCUGCAACCAAAAGGUGGUGUGUUUCCUUUUUGUCCCUGCGCCAUCCAUCCCUGCUGGACGAACAAUGCAGCCACGAGCAAUGCUGCAACAGAACAGAUGAACCUGAUUUAUCUACCAAGUAAUAAUUUGCUUGCAAGAACAAUCCAGGCAGGAGAGACAAAGACGGCGAUGAUCGUUGGUGCCUUAGCUUCUUUCUGUUCCGAGCUACACGCAUUAUCGUUCUUAGCAUUGUGAUGCUGACAGUCAUGUGAUCAUUCAGAGGUAGUUCACGGGAUGGAAAUGGUUGUCAGACGAGUGGCGUUUUCUCAGCUAAUGUCAUGGGUUUCCUGAAUAACCUGAAGGAAGAAAAUUACCCCGGAUAACAUAAUAAAAUAAAAAGUCCAUGUCGGCCAAGAAGGGCGCCUGUAGGCACCGUCAAGCUAAUGAUUGGCCUUGCAGGUACUACGAUGAUUAGGAGAGGAAACAGGGCACCAUUAACUAGUCCAUCUGAGGAACUCAUGAUCGGCAGAGCAGCAGGCACGCGAAAUCGAUCAUGUGGCCACCAGCAGCAGUGGAACUGACGGCAGCCGGCGAUGGUGUGGCCUCACACAGAGUCAGUGCUCAUGUGAGGCGCUGCAGUACUAGUCCGACGAACUGUAGAUGAAAGGCGUGCAUGGAACUGUCGCCGGUCAUCUCCCCCACCCACGCAAUCAAUUCGUUUCCGCCGUUUCUCUGCUCUUUUCGCCUGAUCGGAAGCAGGCUAACUGGCAAAGAAAGAAACAGGCGCCGGAUCAGGUGACUACUGGUCAGUGGGUACAAGCAAGAGCGGUAGUUUUUCAUCGUAGUAAACAAUAGAAACGGCUCCUGCCUCCCUCUCUUUUCUUCAGUUAAUUAGCUGAUCAUCCGGUGCACUUGUUUUCAUUUCCAGGCGAAAUGAGAAGAGUUAACUGAAGUUGCCCUGCA